AUCCCACGCACACAUCUACUCCGCGCGCGAGAGAAAAACCCUAAACAUCAGACCCCGCCCCCCCCCCCCCUCUUUUUCACGCGCGCCGCCCAGCUUCUCUCGCUCUCUCUCCUCUCAUCGGGUGCCGUCUUCCUUGACAAUCCUAGAUCCACCUCCAUCUCCUCCUCAGGUCGUUUACCCUAGGCCCCAAAUCCACAACCACCAAUGGCUGCCGGAGUGCCAGCGUGAGCCACAAUCUGAUGCUCGGGGCAUGAGGAAGUGAGGACCGGCGGAGGCGCGGCAUCUCUGACAUGGAUUCGUGAGCAGCAGGCGGCUGCAAAGGGCCGGAUUCGCAAGCUGCUGGCCGGAAUCACGAACUGCUGCUUGGAGUGGCGAGUUCCUGGAGAUUUGGCAUGCGGGGCGGAGGCUAACUCCGGUGAUGUGGAUUCGCAGGAAGGAGGGACCUUCUCCGGCGUCUUGGUGAGGGGAGUCUCCACCCCACCCCACUGUCGAUUGCGCCUCCACCAAUUCCUGCCCAUCCCUUCAAUUCCCGUCCAUCCUUCUGCUGCAAUCCAAUCCAGGAACGAGUAGGAUUUCCUGCAGUUCAACCAAGUUUUGCCCAAGUGACAGAUUGCAAUAUUAUUCAUGUGUGUGGCUGCUGUGAACUGCAGAUCUGAGAAGGCAACCGUGUAUUAGCUGUGCCGUGCAUUUUGACUCGAAACAAAACUAGCGUGUUAGCAGAGAUGCAUGGCCUUCGACACAAAAAGCUUACGGGUACACAGGGUGCACGAAGGGGUGGGAGCAAACAAACAGGAUUCAGCAAUGAUGGUUUUCAGUCCAACAGAAGCAAGGAAGAUCAUGCUGGGACAUCUAAAAAGGGAAGUGCUGAUGGUACUAAAUCCAACAGAGUUAACACCAGAAGGGUUGCAGCCCUUGCUACAAGCUCUGAAAGGACCAGUGGUGGUAACUCGAAGACAGCUGCAGGUGAUGCCAGCUUGGGUGGCAGUAAUGAUAUUAACUCCACAAUGCUAGCAGUUGAAGGUGACCACUCUGAAAGGACCAGUGCAAAUGGUAUUAACUGUGAAAGGGUUGCUAAUGGUGUUAAUUCUCAGCUGAAUAGUGCUAGUGAGGGUGGUGAAAGGGUUGCUAAUGGUGUUAAUUCCCAGCUGAAUAGUGCUAGUGAGGGUGGUAACUCUGAAUUGAAUAUUGGAUCCAAGCGGAGCCGUGAGGAUGCACCAAAGAGAGGGAGGGCAAAGAUGUCCCGUACAGAAUUGAAAAUGGCUCCACGCGGUGGGAAGGUGGAGCUAGAACCCAGAGGUGAUCGGUAAGUGUAUAAUAUGAGCUCAUAUCUGUACAGUACCAUAGUUUUUUUAUUCUGCUAAUAAUUGUAAACAUAAAAGUCUUAUUAACUUGUGAACUUAUUUGUAACAAUCAGUUCAAAUAUGUUAAUUAUAACCCUAAAGGCCUCAAGUACCCCUCACAACUGGGAGCCAUUCUCAAACGCGAGUACCCAGGUAUGAUAAAGGUCUAUGAUGAUCAUGGCACAGUUGUUAAACAUCAGCUAGCAUUGUCUUGGAAUGAUUAUUAUUGGAAAAAGAACAAAAAUGGAGUCUGUUAUGCUAAAAGAGUGAAGUAGGAGUUCUGGAGUUUGUUUACAGUUAAUCUGAAACAUAGGGCUGCUGCUGCAAGAAUAUUAGAUGCCUAUCUAGUGAAAAGAGUAACUAAUAUGGUGUACCAACUUCGUUUGGAUGCGGUGAAGGUGUACUUUAACAAAAGGAAAGAGGAAUGUGAUGACAUACGAGCACACACCAUUGAACUAACAGAAGAACAAUACUUGGCUUCUCGGGUGGAGUGGUGUAAUAAGGCAACUUGGGCAUGGUUCUCUAAAUACUGGGUUAGUGAUGAGUACAAGAGAAAGAGACUGAAAGCCCAAGAGUCAUGCAUGAAUUCUGAAGAUACUGCUCAAAAUAGAGGAGGUUCACAGAAUUUUUCUGAGACACAACAACUCCUGGAACACAAUUUCGGUCCUGAGAAGGGUAGCACUCUAAACACAUAUGCUGUGAUGAAAUCUAGAUACAAAACUGUAGACAGCACUGGUAGGAGUGGUCCAAUACCCAGCCAGAAAGGGCAAAGAUGCUUGGAUGACUACAAAGAACUAGCUGCAGACGAGAACUCUCAAGAUUUUGAUGGAAAGGCACUAUACACCAUGGGAGGUGGCAUGAAGCAUGGGCGUGUUCCAAUUGGUGAUGGUGCUGUGGAUAAGGAAACUGUUCUAGUACAUCGAAAGUCGGUGCCUUUUAAGCCAAUCAAUCCUGAUGAUUAUGAAAGGGUGCUCAAAGAAAAUGAGUAGCUGAAACAGACUAAUGAGAUACUCCUUGAUGAAAAUAGUGUCAAUCGUGCAUUGAUCAUGACAAUGUAUGCUGAUUUUGGAAAAGAACCACUUGCAGAGCCGUUGUCCCGUCUAGCAAGUAUUGAUGCACGUCGUCACCAGGUUCAAAAUUUAACUAAAUAUUUGUCUAUCCAAUUCAUGUUUUGCAUAUGGAGGACAUUUCUAGGAA